rnacentral:rRNA from 1 species
AGCGAACGCUGGCGGCAGGCCUAACACAUGCAAGUCGAGCGGCCGUAGCAAUACGGCAGCGGCAGACGGGAGAGUAACACGUGGGAACGCGCCCUUCGGUUCGGGAUAACCCAGGGAAACUUGGGCUAAUACCGGAUACGCCCUUACGGGGAAAGAUUUAUUGCCGAAGGAACGGCCCGCGUCCGAUUAGCUAGUUGGUGAGGUAAUGGCUCACCAAGGCGACGAUCGGUAGCUGGUCUGAGAGGAUGACCAGCCUCACUGGGACUGAGACACGGCCCAGACUACUACGGGAGGCAGCAGUGGGGAAUAUUGGACAAUGGGCGCAAGCCUGAUCCAGCCAUGCGGCGUGGGUGAUGAAGGCCCUAGGGUUGUAAAGCCCUUUCAGCGGGGAAGAUAAUGACGGUACCCGCAGAAGAAGCCCCGGCUAACUUCGUGCCAGCCGCCGCCGUAA